rnacentral:misc_RNA from 1 species
GUCAACUUCAUACUUGCAAUCUUAUGUAAGACUUGGAACUGAGGCUACAGAAGUAGAUGAGGUUCCAGCAUGUUUUCUAGAUGUCAAUCAUGUCAUACAGCAACAACAUACCCAGUGUGAUACCACAAGUGGGGUCUGGGAUGGGUGGGGUAUAUGCAGCCCCUUACCCCUAUCUUUGUGGGGGACUACUUUUUUCUAGAUGUCAGACAUCUUGAUAAACUUGGAAUGCAGAUUAAUGUCAAUGAUAAGAUGAUAUGCAAGGCUACCAUGCAUGCAUAUAUAAGAUACAAAUAAAAGAAAUCUG